rnacentral:lncRNA from 1 species
CAGCCUCCACGUCUUCAGCAGUGAGACAGGGAGGUCAUGAGGCUCAGGUGAGGUCACCUGUGUGACACAUUUGGUGAUAAGACAUUAGCUGCACGCACACAUGCUGGUGUCAGCCUUAAAUCUCCGGAACACUCACACAUUCUGCCUUCCACAUGCCUGUCCCCCAGCACCAGAGCCACAGCUCCACCCACACAGGAGCCACCAGCAUGCCUCCCGCCUCCUUCCCCCAGGCCUGACUGUGACACAGCCACACUGCGCACACCUGCAGGCCCCAGGCUCUCAUGACCCUGCCCAGCCCUGCAGGCCUGGUGAAGCAGGACCUCUGUGUAGGCUGUGGACCCUGGGCCCCAGCGAGUCAGCUCUCACCUUGCUGUGUCCUCUUGUCCCUGCUGUUUUCUAGUGGCUGAAGCAAAUAGAGGGGACCGAGGCAGCCCUGACCCAGAAGAUGCUGGACCUCGAGAAGGAAAAGGACCUGUUCAGCANGCAGAAAGGCUACCUGGAGGAGGAGCUGGACUACAGGAAGCAAGCGCUUGACCAGGCUUACCUGAAAAUCCAGGACCUGGAGGCCACACUGUACAACGCACUGCAGCAGGAGCCGGGGCUUCGGGCCAGUGAGGCGCUGAGUGUGGGCCAGCGUGAGGACCUGCAGGCGGCUGUGGAGAAGGUGCGCAGGCAGAUCCUGAGGCAGAGCCGCGAGUUCGACAGCCAGAUCCUCCGAGAGCGCAUGGAGAUGCUGCAGCAGGCCCAGCAGGUAGGGCGUCCGUCCACCCCAUGCCAUGCGUGCUGAGGUCCCCUGGAGCACUGACACCUGCAAAGGGCGAGGGGCAGUGUAUUGGCAAACUCUUCUCCUCACCAGCUAACCAU